GUGUUAGCAGCCGCGGUAAUACGUAGGGAGCGAGCGUUGUCCGGAUUUACUGGGUGUAAAGGGUGCGUAGGCGGCUCUGCAAGUCAGGCGUGAAAUACAUGGGCUUAACCCAUGGACUGCGUUUGAAACUGUGGAGCUUGAGUGAAGUAGAGGUAGGCGGAAUUCCCGGUGUAGCGGUGAAAUGCGUAGAGAUCGGGAGGAACACCAGUGGCGAAGGCGGCCUACUGGGCUUUAACUGACGCUGAAGCACGAAAGCAUGGGUAGCAAACAGGAUUAGAUGCCCUGGUAGUCCAUGCCGUAAACGAUGAUUACUAGGUGUGGGGGGUCUGACCCCUUCCGUGCCGGAGUUAACACAAUAAGUAAUCCACCUGGGGAGUACGGCCGCCAGGUUGAAACUUAAAUGAAUUGGCGG
rnacentral:rRNA from 1 species